rnacentral:rRNA from 1 species
GACAGCAGCAGCCGCGGGAACACGUAGGGUGCGAGCGUUAAUCGGAAUUACUGGGCGUAAAGCGUGCGCAGGCGGUUAUAUAAGACAGAUGUGAAAUCCCCGGGCUCAACCUGGGACCUGCAUUUGUGACUGUAUAGCUAGAGUACGGUAGAGGGGGAUGGAAUUCCGCGUGUAGCAGUGAAAUGCGUAGAUAUGCGGAGGAACACCGAUGGCGAAGGCAAUCCCCUGGACCUGUACUGACGCUCAUGCACGAAAGCGUGGGGAGCAAACAGGAUUAGAUACCCCAGUAGUCCCUGUCUCUUAUAC